CCUACGGGAGGCAGCAGUGGGGAAUAUUGCACAAUGGGCGAAAGCCUGAUGCAGCGACGCCGCGUGAGGGAUGACGGCCUUCGGGUUGUAAACCUCUUUCAGCAGGGAAGAAGCGAAAGUGACGGUACCUGCAGAAGAAGCGCCGGCUAACUACGUGCCAGCAGCCGCGGUAAUACGUAGGGCGCAAGCGUUGUCCGGAAUUAUUGGGCGUAAAGAGCUCGUAGGCGGCUUGUCACGUCGGGUGUGAAAGCCCGGGGCUUAACCCCGGGUCUGCAUUCGAUACGGGCUAGCUAGAGUGUGGUAGGGGAGAUCGGAAUUCCUGGUGUAGCGGUGAAAUGCGCAGAUAUCAGGAGGAACACCGGUGGCGAAGGCGGAUCUCUGGGCCAUUACUGACGCUGAGGAGCGAAAGCGUGGGGAGCGAACAGGAUUAGAUACCCUGGUAGUCCACGCCGUAAACGGUGGGAACUAGGUGUUGGCGACAUUCCACGUCGUCGGUGCCGCAGCUAACGCAUUAAGUUCCCGCCUGGGGAGUACGGCCGCAAGGCUAAACUCAAAGGAAUUGACGG
rnacentral:rRNA from 1 species